AUUCUGUAAUUAAACUACAGGAUUGUGUGACCCGGUUUGGGUUUGUUUAAUUCAUCACCGAUUUUUAUGAAAUUAAACAACAAAAAAACCUUUUUUCCAGAAAGGAAAUGGGGUAG
rfam:Dickeya dadantii 3937, complete genome.